GAUGAACGCUGGCGGCGUGCCUAAUACAUGCAAGUCGAGCGAACGGACGAGAAGCUUGCUUCUCUGAUGUUAGCGGCGGACGGGUGAGUAGCACGUGGAUAACCUACCUAUAAGACUGGGAUAACUUCGGGAAACCGUAGCUAAUACCGGAUAAUAUUUUGAACCGCAUGGUUCAAAAGUGAAAGACGGUCUUGCUGUCACUUAUAGAUGGAUCCGCGCUGCAUUAGCUAGUUGGUAAGGUAACGGCUUACCAAGGCAACGAUGCAUAGCCGACCUGAGAGGGUGAUAGGCCACACUGGAACUGAGACACGGUCCAGACUCCUACGGGAGGCAGCAGUAGGGAAUCUUCCGCAAUGGGCGAAAGCCUGACGGAGCAACGCCGCGUGAGUGAUGAAGGUCUUCGGAUCGUAAAACUCUGUUAUUAGGGAAGAACAUAUGUGUAAGUAACUGUGCACAUAUUGACGGUACCUAAUCAGAAAGCCACGGCUAACUACGUG
rnacentral:rRNA from 1 species